rnacentral:lncRNA from 10 species
GCGCACCGCGUGCGAGCGCGGCCGGGACCGACGGGUGACGCGGCGGGAGGAGACGCGGCGGGAGGAGGCGAAGCUGGCGACGCCAAAGGGAGCCCAGAGCUACGCCCAGGGGUGAGGCGAGGGCCGCCUGCGCCGCUGGAUGGAGAGGGUAGCAGAGCGCGCGGCAAGGAGGCCGGGUCCGGAGGUGCCCACGUGCACGAACCCGAGUGAAACUUUCCGAAAUUCACUAUCCGAGUCUAGGCGCCGACACAGAAGGUGGAGCAGGGAGGCGUCGGCUGUGCCCGCCCCUGCGCCGCAGAAACGCCCCCUCGGCUACGGGUUUGGGAAGACUGGGAGACAGCUGCCUCGUGCUCUAGCAGCCCGCCCCCUGGGCGCCUUUCCCUUCUCAGGACCAAACGACGGUGCCAUGGGAGGCUCUUCAACCUGUGAGCCAAACAUUUGACCUUGGACGACAGCAAAGUUUAGCCACAGAUUAUCCUUGUAGAGCUGCAAGACCUCAAGAAAGCCGGGCUAGUCAAGUGAAGCAGUGGGAGUGGAAAAGGAGCAAAGAAAUCUGUAACUGGUUGUGAUUCCAUGAACUUUUUGAAAUCCCCUUGUAUUGGCUUCCUUCCCUCUUCUGUCUUACUUCUCUACUCCCUACAAGUGUUUUCUGGGAUCACCUCCAA